rnacentral:misc_RNA from 1 species
AAGUCGUAACAAGGCGGGAACAGGGACUGUCGUGAUCAGGAGCAAAAGGGUUGUGCAGGGGGGGGAACAGUUGGUGCAUUUGGUGUUAGCAAACGCAUUGGCUGCCCCUUUGCUGCUUUCUCACAACUCUCUUGGAACUCUUGUUAUCGCUUUCUCUGCCUGCCCUGACUGCAACUAAGUGGGUGUGCCCUACAAAACAAAGAACACUAAAACAAACCAACUGGGCUGCAGUGCUCCUCUUAAUAGAAUACCCGAACAACUGUUAACAAUGGAUAUCUUGGUGUCAC